UACGAAGGGGGCUAGCGUUGCUCGGAAUCACUGGGCGUAAAGCGCACGUAGGCGGAUUCUUAAGUCAGGGGUGAAAUCCUGGAGCUCAACUCCAGAACUGCCUUUGAUACUGGGAGUCUCGAGUCCGGGAGAGGUGAGUGGAACUGCGAGUGUAGAGGUGAAAUUCGUAGAUAUUGGGAAGAACACCAGUGGCGAAGGCGGCUCACUGGCCCGUAACUGACGCUGAGGUGCGAAAGCGUGGGGAGCAAACAGG
rnacentral:rRNA from 1 species